rnacentral:rRNA from 1 species
CAGAGGGUGCAAACGUUGCUCGGAUUUACUGGGCGUAAAGCGCAUGUAGGCGGGCAAAUAAGUCGGGUGUGAAAUCCCUGGGCUCAACCUAGGAACUGCAUCCGAAACUGUUUACCUUGAGUAGUGGAGAGGAAAGCGGAAUUCCGGGUGUAGAGGUGAAAUUCGUAGAUAUCCGGAGGAACACCAGUGGCGAAGGCGGCUUUCUGGACACUAACUGACGCUGAGAUGCGAAAGCGUGGGGAGCAAACAGGAUUAGAUACCCUGGUAGUCCACGCCGUAAACGAUGAGUGCUGGGUGUCUUGGGUAUUGACCCCCGAGGCGCCGUAGCUAACGCGUUAAGCACUCCGCCUGGGGAGUACGGUCGCAAGACUA